rnacentral:sRNA from 1 species
CAGACAUGGAAGUUACCGUGAAACUUAUGUAAACAGUAAAAAAGAUAAAUUAAGCUGAGGCAGUUUAGGGGUUUCCGAGAUGUUUCUUCUGCCCCAGUGCCUUCACGUUCCCUCUCCUGUCUACGGUUCAUUGGGCUUGAGAGGAUGAAAGUUCACCUUGGCCUGGAAGUGCCCCUGCACGUGGUGUGUCCUGAGCAGUACACUCAGCCGCCCCCAGCCCAGUCCCACAGGAUGGACCUCAUGAUCGACUGCCAGCCCCCCGCCAUGUCCUAUCGGCGGGCUGAGGUUCUCGCCCUGCCCUUCAAACGUCGGUACGAGAAGAUCGAGAUCAUGCCAGAGCUCGCAGAUUCACUGGUGCCCAUGGAGAUCAAGCCUGGCAUCUCCUUGGCAACUGUCUCGGCCGUGCUGCACACCAAAGAUAACAAGCACUUGCUUCAGCCCCCUCCUCGGCCCGCCCAGCCCACGAGCGGGAAGAAGAGAAAGCGGGUGAGCGAUGACGUACCAGACUGCAAAGUCCUGAAGCCUUUGUUGAGCGGUUCCAUCCCUGUGGAGCAGUUCGUGCAGACCCUGGAGAAG